AACGUAGGUGGCAAGCGUUAUCCGGAUUCACUGGGCGUAAAGCGCGUGCAGGUGGCCUUGUAAGUUGGACGUUAAAUUUCCCGGCUUAACCGGGAAGGGCCGUUCAAUACUGCGGGGCUUGAGGGCAGAAGAGGGGGGUGGAAUUGCUGGUGUAGUGGUGAAAUGCGUAGAUAUCAGCAGGAACACCUGUGGCGAAAGCGGCCCCCUGGUCUGCUCCUGACACUCAGACGCGAAAGCUAGGGGAGUGAAC
rnacentral:rRNA from 1 species